AUUGAACGCUGGCGGCAGGCCUAACACAUGCCAGUCGAGCGGAUGAAGCGGGCUUGCUCCUGGAUGCAGCGGCGGACGGGUGAGUAAUGCCUAGGAAUCUGCCAGGUAGUGGGGGAUAACGUCCGGAAACGGGCGCUGAUACCGCAUACGUCCUGAGGGUGAAAGUGGGGGAUCUUCGGACCUCACGCUAUCAGAUGAGCCUAGGUCGGUUUAGCUAGUUGGUGGGGUAAAGGCCUACCAAGGCGACGAUCCGUAACUGGUCUGAGAGGAUGAUCAGUCACACUGGAACUGAGACACGGUCCAGACUCCUACGGGAGGAAGCAGUGGGGAAUAUUGGACAAUGGGCGAGAGCCUGAUCCAGCCAUGCCGCGUGUGUGAAGAAGGUCUUCGGAUUGGAAAGCACUUUAAGUUGGGAGGAAGGGCAGUAAGUUAAUACCUUGCUGUUUUGACGUUACCAAAAGAAUAAGCCCCGGCUAACUUCGUG
rnacentral:rRNA from 1 species